GUCUUUUUUUUUGCUGGCCAAUUUAGUACUUGGUCGUAAAGACCGUUUACGUGUUGAAAAAAAAGAACAGAAAGGAAAGAAAAAUAAAAAAAAAGGACAGGUCUAAAACGGUCUCUUUACCGAGGAAAGAUGAUAUGAAGACAAAUCGUUUCCCAUGGUGAAAAUCAAAGGUAGUCGACUAUUGCCUGAGUAAAUAACAACUCAGAAACUCGAAAUCAAAAGAUGAAUGUGUUCUUAGAUCUGAAAUAUUAUGAAAGGGAACAGACGAUUACCAUGCAAUCAUUUUACGUCGGGGAUUCUGCAUAAAUCUGAAGAAACCUGGUUUAUACUAUGGAAACCACGAGCAAGAACAAUGGUGGUUCUGUGACUUUUGAAUAUUGGAUCUCAAAACUUGGAGUGAACAUUCAGUUUAUGCCCAAUACAUAACAGUUAGCAUAACCGGUCGAUGUUCACACAACCAACAUAAAAAAAAGUAGGAAACAUGGAUUCAUUGUCUGCUCCGGCUGCAAGCGAGGAAAGGAUAUAUAAUACUACAACAGUGAAAGAUAAGUUCCUUUAAACAAUUGUAAAAAGACUAUUUAUUUAAACAGAAAGUUCUUAGACUUUUAGUUUGAUAUAUUCUGUUGUAGCAAGUAGAGAGUAACAAAAGCUUACACUCUCAUCAGCCAAGAUGAAUUUUAUGGUUUCCCCUGAUAGUUGUAUGUUUUGUUUUCAAGAGUGUAGAACCUUCACAUGAAUAAACCAUGUAUUUUUCCAAGGCCUCAAGUCUUUAAUGGCAGUAACUUUUUCGUA